rnacentral:rRNA from 1 species
GGUUAAGUGACUAAGCGUACAUGGUGGAUGCCUUGGCAGUCAGAGGCGAUGAAGGACGUACUAACCUGCGAUAAGCUGUGAGAAGUCGGUAAGAGACGCUAUUACUCACAGAUUUCCGAAUGGGGAAACCCACCCGAGAUAACUCGGGUAUCUGUUACUGAAUACAUAGGUAACAGAGGCGAACCGGGAGAACUGAAACAUCUAAGUACCCCGAGGAAAAGAAAUCAACCGAGAUUCCCUCAGUAGCGGCGAGCGAACGGGGAUUAGCCCUUAAGCAUCUUGGAAGUUAGUGGAACGGUCCUGGAAAGGCCGGCGAUACAGGGUGAUAGCCCCGUACACGAAAACAACCUUGAUGUGAAAUCGAGUAGGGCGGGACACGUGACAUCCUGUCUGAAUAUGGGGGGACCAUCCUCCAAGGCUAAAUACUCCUGACUGACCGAUAGUGAACCAGUACCGUGAGGGAAAGGCGAAAAGAACCCCUGUGAGGGGAGUGAAAUAGAACCUGAAACCGUGUACGUACAAGCAGUGGGAGCCCUUCGGGGUGACUGCGUACCUUUUGUAUAAUGGGUCAGCGACUUACAUUUUGUAGCGAGGUUAACCGUAUAGGGGAGCCGUAGGGAAACCGAGUCUUAACUGGGCGUCUAGUUGCAAGGUGUAGACCCGAAACCGGGUGAUCUAGCCAUGGGCAGGUUGAAGGUUGAGUAACAUCAACUGGAGGACCGAACCCACUAACGUUGCAAAGUUAGGGGAUGACCUGUGGCUGGGGGUGAAAGGCCAAUCAAACUCGGAGAUAGCUGGUUCUCCCCGAAAGCUAUUUAGGUAGCGCCUCGGACGAAUACUACUGGGGGUAGAGCACUGUUUGGGCUAGGGGGUCAUCCCGACUUACCAACCCCAUGCAAACUCCGAAUACCAGUAAGUAAUAUCCGGGAGACACACGGCGGGUGCUAACGUCCGUCGUGAAGAGGGAAACAACCCAGACCGCCGGCUAAGGUCCCAAAGUUCUGGUUAAGUGGGAAACGAUGUGGGAAGGCUCAGACAGCUAGGAUGUUGGCUUAGAAGCAGCCAUCAUUUAAAGAAAGCGUAAUAGCUCACUAGUCGAGUCGGCCUGCGCGGAAGAUGUAACGGGGCUCAAACCAGGCACCGAAGCCGCGGAUUCACACUUAUGUGUGAGUGGUAGGGGAGCGUUCUGUAAGUCUGCGAAGGUGUAUCGAGAGGUAUGCUGGAGAUAUCAGAAGUGCGAAUGCUGACGUAAGUAACGAUAAAGGGGGUGAAAAGCCUCCUCGCCGGAAGACCAAGGGUUCCUGUCCAACGUUAAUCGGGGCAGGGUGAGUCGACCCCUAAGGCGAGGCCGAAAGGCGUAGUCGAUGGGAAGCAGGUUAAUAUUCCUGCACGACUUGUAAUUGCGAUGGGGGGACGGAGAAGGCUAGGUGGGCCAGGCGACGGUUGUCCUGGUGAAAGUGCGUAGG